rnacentral:rRNA from 1 species
AACAAACGCUGGCGGCGUGCCUAACACAUGCAAGUCGUACGAGAAAGUCGGCUUCGGCCGAUGAGUACAGUGGCGCACGGGUGAGUAGCGCGUGGGUAAUCUGCCCCCCGGUCAGGAAUAACCCGCCGAAAGGCGGGCUAAUACCCGAUAACACUGACGCUCCGCGGAGCGUCUUUCAAAGGAGGCCUCUGUUUACAAGCUUUCGCCGGAGGAUGAGCCCGCGUACCAUUAGCUAGUUGGCAGGGUAAUGGCCUACCAAGGCUGCGAUGGUUAGCUGGUCUGAGAGGAUGGCCAGCCACACUGGAACUGAGACACGGUCCAGACUCCUACGGGAGGCAGCAGUGAGGAAUCUUGCGCAAUGGGGGAAACCCUGACGCAGCAACGCCGCGUGAGUGAGGAAGGCCUUCGGUCGUAAGCACUUUUUGAGAGGAUGAGGAAGGACGGUACGUCUCAGAAUAAGUCUCGGCUAACUACGUAGCCAGCAGCCGCGGUAAACU